UAGGGAAUAUUGGGCAAUGGACGGAAGUCUGACCCAGCCAUGCCGCGUGCAGGAAGAAGGUCCUCUGGAUUGUAAACUGCUUUAGACGGGGAAGAAUAAGGAUCAUGCGUGAUCUGAUGACGGUACCCGUAGAAUAAGCACGGCUAACUACGUGCCAGCAGCCGCGGUAAUACGUAGGGUGCGAGCGUUGUCCGGAUUUAUUGGGUUUAAAAGGGGUGCGUAGGCGGGGAGAGUAAGUUCGCUUUUAAAGCCGGCCGCUUAACGGUCAGGUAGGGGGCGGAUACUGCUUUUCUUGAGAGGGCUCGGGCUGGCGGAAUUUGUGGUGUAGCGGUGAAAUGCAUAGAUACCACAAGGAACACCGAUCGCGUAGGCAGCCAGCCAGGGGCCUUUCUGACGCUGAGGCACGAAAGUGCGGGGAGCAAACAGGAUUAGAUACCCUGGUAGUCCGCACUGUAAACGAUGCAUACUCGGUGUCGGCUCGUAGAGCCGGUGCCUGAGGGAAACCGAUAAGUAUGCCACCUGGGGAGUACGCCGGCAA
rnacentral:rRNA from 1 species